rnacentral:rRNA from 1 species
AACUUUGCAUACACGAAAGUGUGACAGGGUCAUCCCGAGUGCCGACCGCUGAGGUUGGCUUUUACCCAGUCUAGAAAGCUGGGGGAAUAAGGAGAGGGCAAGUCUGGUGUCAGCCGCCGCGGUAAUACCAGCUCUCCGAGUGGUGUGGACGUUUAUUGGGCCUAAAGCAUCCGUAGCUGGCUGAGCAAGUCCCCUGUUAAACCCACCGAUUUAAUCGUUGGCGUGCGGGGGAUACUGCUCGGCUAGGGGACGAGAGAGGCAGACGGUAUUCCCGGGGUAGGGGUGAAAUCCUAUAAUCCCGAGAAGACCACCAGUGGCGAAGGCUGUCUGCUAGAACGCGCCCGACGGUGAGGGAUGAAAGCUGGGGGAGCGAACCGGAUUAGAUACCCGGGUAGUCCCAGCUGUAAACGAUGCAGACUAGGUGUUUGGACGGCCACGUGCCGUUCUAGUGCCGCAGGGAAGCUGUUAAGUCUGCCGCCUGGGGAGUACGAUCGCAAGAUUGAAACUUAAAGGAAUUGGCGG